rnacentral:rRNA from 1 species
GACGAACGCUGGCGGCGUGCUUAACACAUGCAAGUCGAACGGAAAGGCCCUGCUUUUGUGGGGUGCUCGAGUGGCGAACGGGUGAGUAACACGUGAGUAACCUGCCCUUGACUUUGGGAUAACUUCAGGAAACUGGGGCUAAUACCGGAUAUGAGCUCCUGCUGCAUGGUGGGGGUUGGAAAGUUUCGGCGGUUGGGGGUGGACUCGCGGCUUAUCAGCUUGUUGGUGGGGUAGUGGCUUACCAAGGCUUUGACGGGUAGCCGGCCUGAGAGGGUGACCGGCCACAUUGGGACUGAGAUACGGCCCAGACUCCUACGGGAGGCAGCAGUGGGGAAUAUUGCACAAUGGGCGGAAGCCUGAUGCAGAAACGCUGCGUGCGGGAUGACGGCCUUCGGGUUGUAAACCGCUUUCGCCUGUGACGAAGCGUGAGUGACGGUAAUGGGUAAAGAAGCACCGGCUAACUACGUG